rnacentral:rRNA from 1 species
GGCAGGUCUACCAUGCAGUCGAGCGGUAGCACAGAGAGCUUGCUCUCGGGUGACGAGCGGCGGACGGGUGAGUAAUGUCUGGGAAACUGCCUGAUGGAGGGGGAUAACUACUGGAAACGGUAGCUAAUACCGCAUAACGUCGCAAGACCAAAGUGGGGGACCUUCGGGCCUCAUGCCAUCAGAUGUGCCCAGAUGGGAUUAGCUAGUAGGUGGGGUAACGGCUCACCUAGGCGACGAUCCCUAGCUGGUCUGAGAGGAUGACCAGCCACACUGGAACUGAGACACGGUCCAGACUCCUACGGGAGGCAGCAGUGGGGAAUAUUGCACAAUGGGCGCAAGCCUGAUGCAGCCAUGCCGCGUGUGUGAAGAAGGCCUUCGGGUUGUAAAGCACUUUCAGCGGGGAGGAAGGCGAUAAGGUUAAUAACCUUGUCGAUUGACGUUACCCGCAGAAGAAGCACCGGCUAACUCCGUGCCAGCAGCCGCGGUAAUACGGAGGGUGCAAGCGUUAAUCGGAAUUACUGGGCGUAAAGCGCACGCAGGCGGUCUGUCAAGUCGGAUGUGAAAUCCCCGGGCUCAACCUGGGAACUGCAUUCGAAACUGGCAGGCUAGAGUCUUGUAGAGGGGGGUAGAAUUCCAGGUGUAGCGGUGAAAUGCGUAGAGAUCUGGAGGAAUACCGGUGGCGAAGGCGGCCCCCUGGACAAAGACUGACGCUCAGGUGCGAAAGCGUGGGGAGCAAACAGGAUUAGAUACCCUGGUAGUCCACGCCGUAAACGAUGUCGAUUUGGAGGUUGUGCCCUUGAGGCGUGGCUUCCGGAGCUAACGCGUUAAAUCGACCGCCUGGGGAGUACGGCCGCAAGGUUAAAACUCAAAUGAAUUGACGGGGGCCCGCACAAGCGGUGGAGCAUGUGGUUUAAUUCGAUGCAACGCGAAGAACCUUACCUGGUCUUGACAUCCACAGAACUUUCCAGAGAUGGAUUGGUGCCUUCGGGAACUGUGAGACAGGUGCUGCAUGGCUGUCGUCAGCUCGUGUUGUGAAAUGUUGGGUUAAGUCCCGCAACGAGCGCAACCCUUAUCCUUUGUUGCCAGCGGUUCGGCCGGGAACUCAAAGGAGACUGCCAGUGAUAAACUGGAGGAAGGUGGGGAUGACGUCAAGUCAUCAUGGCCCUUACGACCAGGGCUACACACGUGCUACAAUGGCAUAUACAAAGAGAAGCGACCUCGCGAGAGCAAGCGGACCUCAUAAAGUAUGUCGUAGUCCGGAUUGGAGUCUGCAACUCGACUCCAUGAAGUCGGAAUCGCUAGUAAUCGUAGAUCAGAAUGCUACGGUGAAUACGUUCCCGGGCCUUGUACACACCGCCCGUCACACCAUGGGAGUGGGUUGCAAAAGAAGUAGGUAGCUUAACCUUCGGGAGGGCGC